rnacentral:misc_RNA from 1 species
CUCUCUAUAGCUCAGCUGG